GACGAACGCUGGCGGCGUGCUUAACACAUGCAAGUCGAACGAAGUGGCGAACGGGUGAGUAACGCGUAAUCAACCUGCCCUUCAGCGGGGAACAACAGUUGGAAACGACUGCUAAUACCGAAUACUGAAGGCGGGGAUUGCGUCUGAUUAGCUAGUUGGCGGGGUAAAGGCCCACCAAGGCGAGGAUCAGUAGCCGGUAUGAGAGUAUUAACGGGCACAUUGGGACUGAGACACGGCCCAGACUCCUACGGGAGGCAGCAGUGGGGAAUCUUCCGCAAUGGACGAAAGUCUGACGGAGCAACGCCGCGUGAGUGAUGACGGCCUUCGGGUUGUAAAGCUCUGUUAAUCGGGACGCGGUACCGGAAUAGAAAGCCACGGCUAACUACGUGCCAGCAGCCGCGGUAAUUC
rnacentral:rRNA from 1 species